AGCAGACUGGACAAGCACGUCAGAGGGGCAUGAGUACACCUGCCCCGAGUGAUGCUGCCGGCUGCUGUUCCCGUGGCAUCAACAUUUGCUCGCUUCCAGGGGCUGCUGGUUAUUGAAGGCUGUCAGGCUUGCCAAGACAGCCCUUUCGUUUAUAGAAGAAAGCACGUCUGUUCGCUCACCUUGGCGUCGCCAGCUCUCAGCACAGCACCAGUCACGCGGCAGGCACUCGGGUGACCCAGAGACGCCAAAAGGCUGGACACCCCCGUACCGUCAGCGUCCAUCCCGUGCUCGGCAGCGCGUGUCUGAACACAGCACUCUAACUCUGCAGAACUGUUCAAUGGUUCCCCAGCGACUGCUGAGUGAAGUCCAAAUUCUUUGCCAAGAUUCUUCAC